UUCGAGCUCAGAUCGUCGGCGAAGCGUCGCCGCCUCGGCCUCGUCGCCUCCGCCAUCUCCUAGUUCGCCCCCCGCCGCGAAGCGCCGCCGCCCUUGGCCUCGUCGUCUCUGCCCCGGCCUCGUCGCCUCUGCCAUCUUCUGCUUCACCCCCACCGCGAAGCGCUUCGUCUCAAAUACUCCGCCGCUUCAAUCACCGCCGCUCUCGCUUCGUCUCGCCUCCGUUCUGGAUCUCAGCGAUUUUCCGGCCGAUCUCGCGCAUGAUUUGCUGGCGUUCGCCUUUUCCCCUGCUCGCCGCGACCUCUGCUCGUCGUCGCUCAUCUCUCAGUCUCGUCUAUUUGCCUCUCUCGCCGGCCUCUCUGUAAAUUGGGCUAUGCCUCUUCUUCUUCUUCUUAAUCUUUUUGUUUAUUUUUCUUUAUGUGGUUUAUCAUUUUCCGUAUAUUUUAGAGAGUGGUUUGUUUUCCAUUGUGCUGAUUAAUUUAUGGGCUUUAAGCUCUUGAUCAGAUAUGCAUCGAUUUGGGCAAUUGAGACGAAAUUAGUUUUUGAUGAUCAACAAUGGCUAACUUAUUGGGUUCUUUACUCUAUGAUUACUCUUUUCGAGCUCACUUUUGCAAAGCUUAUUGAAUGGUAAGUCUCUUCUAAUUUGCUAUGAUUUUCAUCUCAUAAUGGCUAUGUGUGUGGAGAAAGUUGCUCAAGAUUGGAUUUUACUCCCCCUCUUUGAAGAUUUGACUGUUGUUGGUUUUAAUGAUUGAAUCCGUUAAUCGUUUGAAAUAAUAAAUGUACUGCAGUUUCUUCAUCCUUUGUGAGCUUCAAAUUUUAUUUACUGAUGUGUAGGUUUGCAUUAUGCUUCAUAUUUGAAUGCUAAAAGUUCUCUCGAUUCUUUGUUCUUACUAUUUUCACUAAAUAGUUCCGGAAUUGGGAAUGAAUUUGUUGAAUUUGAGAAUAAUUUCGGCAGGUUAUGUUUGAGGACAAAAUUAUAUUUGAAAUAGUUAUGCCUUUCUAUUGACUAAAUGAAUAGCUUUGUGAAACUAAAAGGAUUUUAGACUUAGAUAUCUGAUGAUGCUGAGUUCUGAAAUACUUUUUGUUGUGUAUUGAAGGUGUGAUUGGAUUAUAAUUUGUUGGGGUAUUUGGUCUGACCAUUUUCAUAUGGUAUUGUUCACCUUUGGAUAUGUAAGGCCUUACAUUGUUACUCGGCAGAAGUCAGUUAACACGUGCCU
rnacentral:lncRNA from 1 species